rnacentral:tRNA from 1 species
GGUCCUUUAGCUCAGUUGGUAGAGAAUGGCGCUUGUAACGCAAGGGUAGUGGGUUCAAUUCCCAGGACCA